rnacentral:rRNA from 1 species
GUGGGGAAUAUUGGACAAUGGGCGAAAGCCUGAUCCAGCCAUGCCGCGUGUGUGAAGAAGGUCUUCGGAUUGUAAAGCACUUUAAGUUGGGAGGAAGGGUAGUAACCUAAUACGUUGCUACUUUGACGUUACCGACAGAAUAAGCACCGGCUAACUUCGUGCCAGCAGCCGCGGUAAUACGAAGGGUGCAAGCGUUAAUCGGAAUUACUGGGCGUAAAGCGCGCGUAGGUGGUUCAGUAAGUUGGAAGUGAAAUCCCCGGGCUCAACCUGGGAACUGCUUUCAAAACUGCUGAGCUAGAGUACGGUAGAGGGUGGUGGAAUUUCCGGUGUAGCGGUGAAAUGCGUAGAUAUAGGAAGGAACACCAGUGGCGAAGGCGACCACCUGGACUGAUACUGACACUGAGGUGCGAAAGCGUGGGGAGCAAACAGGAUUAGAAACCCCAGUAGUCC